UAUCCACCGCCACAACAACUUUUCCAGCACUCUUUCACUCCACAACGUGAACCUCAAGUAGGAAGGACGCCUUCAGAAGAAGUACUCCAGAACAAUCAACAGCCUCCAGCCACUUCUCAGCAAGCUGCUCCGAUUCUUGAGCAGGAGGCUCCGCCUUCUCCGCCCCAUAACUCUCAGACUCACAGUCAGCCAUCGUCUCAAGGCAACAACUUCGUGGAGUUUCCUCCGGUGUUGCCGGAACUCCAAGAAGACUCACAACAGGCUCUCAACGACCUACUUGCGGUGCCUGGCAGGGAAAAUUACAUUACCGUCCUCAAUCCCGAGCCCAUAGACAAAACUUCAUGGUAUGAUCUUCUUGCUUGUGUUGUUUGUUGUAAUGAGUUAUGUAUUUUGGUGAUGACAAGUGAUGAGAUGACAAGUGAUGCAUUUUGGUCUCUGAUGGGUUAUGCAUUUUGAUGAGGAUUAGUUGAAACCCUAAAAUUGUUUGUUCUGUAUGCUUAUUGUAUUGGUGUCUCUGUUUUGAUAUGAAUCACUUAAUUGUUUUGCUAUGAAUUAUUUAAUUUGUUUUAUGCGUAUUGUAAUGGUGUAAUGGUGUCUCUGUUUUGCUUUGAAUCACUUAAUUGUUUCUUUAUUAAGUGUCUCCGACUGUUUAUUCUUUCAUGUGUAUCUCUGCUGACUUGUAGACUAAUGGUGUGACUGUGCUGACUUGUAGACUAAUGGUGUGACUGUGUUGUAAGAGUUGUGGUCUGAUGGCUUAUGAGUUUUGUUGAACUAAGAGUCUGAAUUAUGACUUGUGCUUUUCUUAUGCGUAUUGUAAUUGUUUCUCUGUUUUUGCCUUUGUAUUAUCUGCUUGUUGAUUUAUUAAUUGCAUCUCACUGUUUGUUUUUCUUGUGUAUCGAGGUUUACCCGAGACACGGGAUCAAGACUUGUUCGGAAGAUAACCAAGGUUUUUACAAACAAAUUUGCUGGUCCAUUCUACAGCUGGACAUGUGUGCCUCGUGAUAAACAAGAGAGAUACUUCCUCGAGUUUGCGAAAACCCACACCUGGGAUCCUUUGAUAACAGGGACUGUCCAAUAUUUUUUUGAGCUCAUCUGUUUAAAGCGGAUGAAAGACAUGGUUAGUGGUGUAAGGACUAGUCGUGAGAAACCUUCUUGGAUAGGAACGACCCUCUGGAAAACAAUGACUGAUUUCUGGGACACUGAGGAAGCACAGGCAAAGAGUCUCACCUACUCAAAGGUCCGUAAUUCUGACCGUAACGGUCUCGGUCCCCACAAACACUUCUCAGGGCCUAAGUCAUUUCAGCAAGUUGAAGCUGAACUGGAAGAGGAAUUGGGAAGACUAGUCUUAGUGAAGUUUUCAUCAAGACACAUACGAGGCCUGAUGGUACCUUUGUUGAUCUGAAGGCGGAG